rnacentral:rRNA from 1 species
AGCGGAGGAAAAGAAACCAACCGGGAUUGCCUUAGUAACGGCGAGUGAAGCGGCAAAAGCUCAAAUUUGAAAUCUGGUACCUUCGGUGCCCGAGUUGUAAUUUGGAGAGGGCAACUUUGGGGCCGUUCCUUGUCUAUGUUCCUUGGAACAGGACGUCAUAGAGGGUGAGAAUCCCGUGUGGCGAGGAGUGCGGUUCUUUGUAAAGUGCCUUCGAAGAGUCGAGUUGUUUGGGAAUGCAGCUCUAAGUGGGUGGUAAAUUCCAUCUAAAGCUAAAUAUUGGCGAGAGACCGAUAGCGAACAAGUACAGUGAUGGAAAGAUGAAAAGAACUUUGAAAAGAGAGUGAAAAAGUACGUGAAAUUGUUGAAAGGGAAGGGCAUUUGAUCAGACAUGGUGUUUUGUGCCCUCUGCUCCUUGUGGGUAGGGGAAUCUCGCAUUUCACUGGGCCAGCAUCAGUUUUGGUGGCAGGAUAAAUCCAUAGGAAUGUAGCU